rnacentral:rRNA from 1 species
GACGAACGCUGGCGGCAUGGAUUAGGCAUGCAAGUCGAACGGUAUAAACCUUUCGGGGUUUAGAGAGUGGCGAACGGGUGAGUAACACGUAGGUAAUCUACCCUCAAAACGGGGACAACCCAGGGAAACUUGGGCUAAUACCGGAUGCGUGCAAGCAAUGUUUUGGCUGUUAAUGCUAUUCACGGAAGUGAGUAGUGUUAAUGGUUGAGAGCAUUAUUUGCAUAAAAGGUGGCAUAUGCUGCCGUUUGAGGAUGAGCCUGCGUCCUAUUAGUUAGUUGGUGAGGUAAUGGCUUACCAAGGCGAUGAUAGGUAGGCGGCCUUAACGGGUGGUCGCCCACACUGGGAUUGAGAGACGGCCCAGACUCCUACGGGAGGCAGCAGUCGAGAAUAGUCUACAAUGGACGGAAGUCUGAUAGUGCGACGCCGCGUGAACGAAGAAUCCCUUCGGGGUGUAAAGUUCUUUUAUACGUGAGCAGUGCCCUUUAUAUGAAUAGUAUAGAGGGAGGGAUUUAAGCGUAUGAAUAAGCAACGGCUAACUCCGUGCCAGCAGCCGCGGUAACACGGGGGUUGCAAGCGUUGUCCGGAAUUACUAGGCGUAAAGUGCAGGUAGGCGGAUAGAUAAGUUUAAGGUUAAAGGCUACGGCUUACCCGUAGUAAGGCGUUAGAUACUGUUUAUCUGGAAUGCGGUUGAGGGAGACAGAAUUCCUGGUGUAGCGGUGGAAUGCGCAGAGAUCAGGAGGAAUACCGAAGGGCGAAGGCAGUCUUCUAAGCCGAUAUUGACGCUAAACUGCGAAGGUGUGGGGAUCAAACAGGAUUAGAUACCCUGGUAGUCCACACAGUAAACGAUAAUCACUAGGUGUUGGGUUCGUAUAGGACUCGGUGCCGGAGCUAACGCGAUAAGUGAUUCGCCUGGGAGUACGAUCGCAAGGUUGAACCUCAA